CAGUCGCCGCGGUAAUCCGUAGGGUGCGAGCGUUAAUCGGAAUUACUGGGCGUAAAGCGUGCGCAGGCGGUUUUGUAAGACAGGCGUGAAAUCCCCGGGCUCAACCUGGGAAUGGCGCUUGUGACUGCAAAGCUAGAGUGCGGCAGAGGGGGAUGGAAUUCCGCGUGUAGCAGUGAAAUGCGUAGAGAUGUGGAGGAAUACCGAUGGCGAAGGCAGCCCCCUGGGCCAAUACUGACGCUCAUGCACGAAAGCGUGGGGAGCAAACAGGAUUAGAUACCCGUGUAGUCCCUGUCUCUUAUAC
rnacentral:rRNA from 1 species